AUGAAACUAUGAGUUGAAAGUUCUUUUCUAUAAGAAUAUUGAAUAUUGCACCCCCACUCUCUUCUGGCUUUAAAGUUUCUGCUGAGAGAUCCACUGUGAGUCUGACGGGCUUCUCUUUCUGGGUAACUCGACCUUUCUUUCUGGCUGCCCUUAGCAAUUUUUCCUUCAUUUCAACCCUGGUGAAUCUGAUCAUUAUGUGCUUUGGGGUUGCUCUUCCUGUGUAAUAUCUUUGUGGUACUCUCUGUAUUUCCCAGAUUUCGAUAUUGUCCUGCCUUGCUAGGUUGGGAAAGUUCUCCUGGAUAAUAUCCUGAAGAGUGUUUUUCAGCCCAGAUUCAUUCUCCCCAUUCAGGUACACUGAUCAAACAUAGAUUUGGUCUUGUCACAUAAUCCCAUAUUUGUUGGUGGUUUUUGUUCAUGCUUUCUUCUCUAAUCUUGCCUUCUUUUUUAUUUCACUGAGUUGAUCUUCGAUUUCUGAUAUCCUUUCUUUUGCUUGACGGAUUUGGCUAUUGACACUUGUGUAUGCUUUGUGAAGUUCCCAUGCUGUGUUUUUCAGCUCCAUCAAGUCAUUCUUAAUUUUCUCUAAGCUGGUUAUUCUAGUAAGCAUUUUGUCUAACCCCUUUUCAAGGUUCUUAUUUUCUUUGAAUUGGGUUAGAGCAUGCUCCUUUAGCUCAGAGAAGGUUGUUAUUACCCACCCUCUGAAGCCCGCUUCUGUGGAUUCAUCAAAUUCAGUAUCCAUCCAGUUUUGUUCCCUUACUGGUCAGGACUUGAAAUCCCUUGGAAGAAGAGAGGCGUUCUGGUUUCUGGUAAUUUUAUUAUUAUUAUUAUUAUUUUGUGCUGGUUUCUUCCCAUCUACAUGGAUUUAUCUACCUUUGGUCUUGUAAGUUGAUGACUUUUGAAUAGUUGUCUGAGUGGUCAUCCUUUCUCUUGACGUUGAAACUAUUUCUUUGUUUUAUACUUUUUCUUCUAACAGUUGGGUACCUCUGCUGCAGGACUGCUGGUGGUCUGCUCCAGACACAGCUUGCCUGGGAGUCACCCAUGGAGGCUGAAGAACCACAAGAAUUGCUGCCUGUACCUUUCUUUGGAAACUUCAUCCCAGGAGGGUACCUUCCCAAUGUCAGACAGUGCUCUCUUGUAUGACAUGACUCUUUGGAUAUACGGGGGGUCAGGGAGCUAAUUGAGGAGGGAGUCUGUCCCUUAUUAGAGCUCAAGUGUUGUGCUGGGAGCUCCUUUGCUCCCUUCAGAGCUGCUGGUCUGGGAUGUUUAAGUCUGCUGCAGUGGAACACACAACUGCUUUUUUUCCCAAUUGCUCUGUCCAGGGUAGGUGGGGCUUUAUUUAUAAGUUCCUGAUGUGUUGCUUCAUUUUUUCAGAGAUGCCCUGCCCAGCAAGGAGGAAGCCUAGUCACAGUCUUUCUACUGAGGCAUUGCUGAAUUGCUGCAGGCUCCGCCUAGCUGCUGUGUAAACUUCCUUGUGCUUUCAUUUACACAGGUAAGGUUAGAAGUGCCUUGGUAAUGGUGGACUGUCUUGGUAAUGGCAGCCUGCGUCACUAAUGGCAGGCUGCCUCAGUAAUUUUGGACUGCCUCAAUAAUGGUGGAUGCCCUUCCCCUCACUGAGCUUGACUGUCCUAGGUUGAGCUCGAACUGCUGUGCUUGCUGCAAAAAUCCUAAGCCAGUGGGAUUCAGUUUGCUGUUCUCUGUGGGGGUGGGAUGUGCUGAGCCAGAUAACCUGGCUCUCCACCUUCAGCCCCCUUUCCUCAGGGAUUUAGGUGGCUCUGUCUUGCAGGUGCUCCUGGUGCCAGCCAAAAUGACCACUCAGAUUUGUGCUGGAAACCCGCGGUGCCUGUCAGCCUGAUGAGAAUCUCCUGGUCUCUGGGCUGCAAAGAUUGUGGGAGAAGUGCAGCAUCUGAACCAGAGCACUGGAGUGGCCAAAGUCCCCAGUGGCCUCCAUUGGGUAGGAUGGGGGACCCUCUGGCCUGUUGCACUUCCUAGGUGAGGCAGCACCCCACCCUCCCUAGGUUUGCCCUUCUUGGGCUACACUUACUGUCCAACCAGUCCCACUGAGAAAAACCUGGUACUGGAAAUGCAGAGAUCACUCGACUUCUGCUUUUCUUUCAUUGGGAACUGCACUCCAGAGCUGCUCCUAUUCAUCCAUCUUCGUGGAAAUUUCUAAUUCCUGUUAGUUUCUAAUUGAAAUGUGCCUGAGAGUGAGUUCUCUUUCUCCAACAAAAAAGAAGUUAUUUGCUUACUCUGACCCAUUUGAGUGCUCCAAGUAACUGGCCACUUUGCAGAUGUGUCAGAGUCAUUAUGCAUAAUGAUGUGACACAGUCUCAUAGGGACCUUGCCACCAGAAGAAUACUUCUGAGGGACUACUUUGCUGUUCCUCCAGAAGGGAAUUAGAAACUGAUCCCUUCCCCAUAAUAUGAGCACUCUGCUCUUCCUUGGCGUUUAGAGGCAGUCCAAGACACAUAUGCAAGUGAUUUAUGAUGCUCAGGUAAAAUCUAGAGGAGUGACACUCACAAGCAGCACAUUUUUUUACCCAUGCAUAUUCCUGGCUUUGGCCACUUUUAAAAAGGACCUAGAUUAUUAAAAAAUCAAGCUUUAAAAUUUGAGCAGUAUUUUACAGAAAAACCACAAUUAGAAACACCAGCUAGAUUUAUGUAUGACACUUAUGGGACAACUCCUUGUAAAUAUCUAGAAGAGUGGACUCACCUAACGCAGAAUUGUCAUAAGCAACAAUGACCAAAAUUAUUGCUGUUAAGAACAAAUAGUUCCUUUUUGAAAGAUUUGGGUUUCUGAUUCUUUAUUCUAUUCUAAAUGUAAUCUUACCAAUUAAUCUAUCAGCUUUCCCUAUCUUUGCCGUGACUAAACACAUCCAAGAAUUUCCAAUCACCUAUGUACCUGUCUUUCCCAUCAAAAGACCACCCUUGCCUCCUUUGAUAGUGUGAACAAUAUCCAAUCAGAAUUAGCCUAGAUCAUGCAGUUUGACGCCAGCCCACAAUGGGAGGACACAGAAACAGGGUCUGUAUUAAAGAUAAAAACUGCUGCUCUUUUUUCUUCUAGGUGCUCUCCCUUGCCUUUGUCUUGCAUGCACGAGGUGCCCUUCUAUAGAAGUAAAUUGCCUUGCUGAGAAAACUUUUGCCUGAGUGUUAGUUCCACUUUGCAGCACUAAGCAUUUUACUUUUAGCAAUCUUGGGGUCUCAUCCAGGAUUUCCAUUCUCCUCUGGGAAAGGGGCCUCUUGUGUUCUCCCAGGGGGAGAUGUGUCUCAUUUCCUCUUUUUAGUUGCCUCAGGGGCUAAAGAUCAAGACCCCAUCCACUGUGAUAAAUAAACCUGGACUCUCAGCAAUGGAGGAAGGAAAGCCUUGCCUACAAAACCACCACAGCAACCAGGUGCACUCCCUUGCCUCUGCCUUGCAUGCAGGAAGCCCUCUUCUAUAGAAGUAAAUUGCCUUUCUGAGGAAACUUUUGCCUGAAUGUUAGUUCCACUUUGCAAUAUCAAGCAUUUUACUUCUAACAUUAUGAUCUUUUGAAAUGACUAUUUAUUUACUUGCACAACUGGAGAAAAAGAUAGUUUGAAUAGGAGUUACUUCUAAUGGCACUUAAAAACUUCUAAAAGAAAUCUUGAGAGAAGAAAUUACAUUCAAGAGAAGUCAAAAGAGAUCCUAACUUCCAACACCCUACCUCCUGAUGAUUCACUGAUAUCCCUGGAAGCAACUUCUCAUCUGGAAGAUAAGGAAAAGGGGAACCCUGAAAGAACAUCUUAUAUGAUUACUAUUUUUCAGGAACAACUGGU